rnacentral:tRNA from 1 species
GAGACACUAGUAGAACGCGCCUAUUACACUGCCUUGUCAAGGCAGAGCUGUGGGUUGAAACCCCACGUGUUUCA